rnacentral:rRNA from 1 species
GAACUUGAUAUCUGCUUCAAAAAGAGCAGCUUACCGGGGGGACGAUAAGACCCUGUAAAANCYYYAUUWWAAAGUUAUUUWAUAAUUUUGAAAAKCAUUAAAUAACAUUCAAAAUUKWUSUNGGGGCGGCAUUUAAUUUAACCUUAAUAAAUACAACAACUAUAGUUGACACUACAGAUCUCUUAAAAGAUUUAAAACAAGUUACUUCAGGGAUAACAGCACAUUUCUCUCGGAUAGACCGCAUAGAUGGGAGAGACUUGUGACCUCUAUGUUGAAUUGAAGGGUCAUAUCUGCAUAGCA